AACCACGACACAUAUAAAUAUAGAUACAAUGGAGUAUUUAAUGAAAACACUUCUCAAAGCUUGAUUUUUGAAACUGUGGCUGUACCAAUAUUAGACAAAUUUUUAGCUGGGAUGAACUGUACCAUUUUUACGUACGGACAAACUAGUAGUGGAAAGACUCACACUAUGUAUGGGACAAAAGAAGACCGGGGAAUUAUUCCUCGGUCUUUAGAAUAUUUAUUCAAAUAC